rnacentral:rRNA from 1 species
GACGAAGGUGGCGAGCGUUGUUCGGAAUCACUGGGCAUAAAGCGCACGUAGGCGGUGUCAUAAGUCGGAUGUGAAAUCCCUCGGCCUAACCGAGGAACUGCGUCCGAUACUGUGAUGCUUGAGGACCAGAGGGGUGUAUGGAAUUUCCGGUGGAGCGGUGAAAUGCGUUGAUAUCGGAAGGAACGCCGGCGGCGAAAGCGAUGCACUGGCUGGUUUCUGACGCUGAGGUGCGAAAGCCAGGGGAGCAAACGGG